ACGCACGCACACGCGCCCGGCGUGAGUUCAAGCCACCGGGUCCGGGACUCGAACCGUGGUCGACUACAUGGGAGUCCAGCGACAUAGCCAUUACGCUAACUGCUGGGCCCCCUGAAAACAAGUGGCUUCUUAAAAAGGUGCUGCAUUCGUGCUGGGAAAACCCGCUCUGCACACACCGGGCAUGUGUGCGGACCUGCCCUGAAUCCCAGGAGGAUAAUGGAGGAGAAGGGAUUACCGCGUGGCCAAACCCCUGCCUCCGGCGAGCCGUCUCUAAGAGCCCGAACGCCCUGCCUGCAAUCCAGCUGCAGCGCCGACAGGGAGAGACCCGAGGGUGGCAUGGAAACUGACCACCUGUGACUGUCCAGGCCGUCGGGACAUCUGGGAAUGGACCACGAAGGAGGAGGCGACCCGGUUCCUCUCCCAAGUGUUCACGCGGCCAUAUUUAGAAGUCACUGAGUGCUGUGCUGACCUCGGGCCGACCUCCCCCAGAGGAGGACGAGAGCAGAGAAGGGCCGGCACGUGGCACUCCUGUUGGGGACCGAGACUCCCCGCAGGUUGACCAGGGAGCACUUUUUGAACCUGUCCUGGCGGCAGAGAACAUGGGCAUCCAAGGUUUGCUCAAUGCUCCAUGUGAGACCGCAGCCCGCAAGCCAAGGGCAACGGCCGAGGAGACACCGAGACCCUCAUCGGCAACUGACUCCCUGCGGGGAGGAAGCCCGGUACACGGAGCAGCCGUGGAGGGUGAGGGGCUGUGCCUGGCGACACCGAGGGCUGCUCCACGUGCUCGUCGCCCUGCGGUGUGCGGCUGUUAGUGUCGACAAAUGGGCCAGCAGGUGGCGUGG